UACCAGACUCCUACGGGAGGCAGCAGUGAGGAAUAUUGGUCAAUGGGAGAGAUCCUGAACCAGCCAAGCCGCGUGAGGGAAGACGGCCCUAUGGGUUGUAAACCUCUUUUGUCGGAGAACAAAACCCGGGACGAGUCCCGGACUGCGUGUAUCCGAAGAAAAAGCAUCGGCUAACUCCGUGCCAGCAGCCGCGGUAAUACGGAGGGGGCAAGCGUUAUCCGGAUUUACUGGGUGUAAAGGGAGCGUAGACGGUGCGCCAAGUCUGGAGUGAAAUGCCGCAGCUUAACUGCGGAACUGCUUUGGAAACUGGCGAACUAGAGUGCGGGAGGGGUAAGCGGAAUUCCUAGUGUAGCGGUGAAAUGCGUAGAUAUUAGGAGGAACACCGGCGGCGAAGGCGGCUUACUGGACCGUAACUGACGUUGAGGCUCGAAAGCGUGGGGAGCAAACAGGAUUAGAUACCCCGGUA
rnacentral:rRNA from 1 species